rnacentral:tRNA from 3 species
GCAGGUGUGGCGGAAUGGUAGACGCGCAGCGUUCAGAACGCUGUGAGCGCAAGCUCGUAGAGGUUCGAGUCCUCUCAUCUGCA